rnacentral:rRNA from 1 species
AGAGUUUGAUCCUGGCUCAGAUUGAACGCUAGCGGGAUGCUUUACACAUGCAAGUCGGACGGCAGCACGAAGAGCUUGCUCUUUGGUGGCGAGUGGCGAACGGGUGAGUAAUGUAUCGGAACGUGCCCAGUAGCGGGGGAUAACUACGCGAAAGCGUGGCUAAUACCGCAUACGCCCUACGGGGGAAAGGGGGGGAUCGCAAGACCUCUCACUAUUGGAGCGGCCGAUAUCGGAUUAGCUGGUUGGUGGGGUAAAGGCCUACCAAGGCGACGAUCCGUAGCUGGUUUGAGAGGACGACCAGCCACACUGGGACUGAGACACGGCCCAGACUCCUACGGGAGGCAGCAGUGGGGAAUUUUGGACAAUGGGGGCAACCCUGAUCCAGCCAUCCCGCGUGUGCGAUGAAGGCCUU